ACUCCAGCAUCUGAGGCUUGGUUAGCAGUUACUCUUGCUUGAAUGUGGUUGUGACUCUUAAUAGUUUAUGGUUUGGAAGCUUGGUCUAUGGUAUAGUGAUGCUGAGGUUAGAGGAGGUUUAGGAGAGGAAACGUAAAGUAAGAUAAUUAGGUCAUUGAAGUUAUUUCUCCUGAAAGGAAUGUUUAUUCUUUGGGAGGAAUACUGCUUACUUAAUUAAAGUGUUGUUACAAAAGAGAAUGACUGAUGCCUGCACUGCUUUGAUUUCUUGUCUUACCAGGUGUUUCUGUCAUUGUGACUCAUCUUCUGUGGGCUCCUUAUGAGAACUGAGAGUAGACUGCCUGCUUGAUGCUCCUGGAUUUUCAAAAGUUUGAAUUGUCUAAAUCUAAUUUUUAUAAAGUACCCAAUAUCAAAUAUUUUAUUAUAGUAAUAGAAAAUGGGUUCUAUACUGGUACUAAUGUUCUCUCAUAGUUAGUUUGGACCGGAGAUGAGAAUAUUGAUUGUUCACUGCCAUGUUUAUUCUGCCUGAAUCUGAGAAGUGCCACAGUUUAAAGUUCCCAUAAAUGAAUAUUUAUUGAAUAAAACCCACUGGAUGAUGAGGUUUCAUCUUGUUUGUGUUUAUGAAUAUUUCAAAUAAGAAAAACCUGAGAAU
ensembl:lncRNA